CAACUUGAGAGUUUGAUCCUGGCUCAGAACGAACGCUGGCGGCAGGUCUAACACAUGCAAGUCGAGCGCGCCUUCGGGUGAGCGGCGGACGGGUUAGUAACGCGUGGGAACGUGCCCUUCACUACGGAAUAGCCCAUGGAAACGUGGAGUAAUACCGUAUACGCCCUCAGGGGGAAAGAUUUAUCGGUGAGGGAUCGGCCCGCGUUAGAUUAGAUAGUUGGUGGGGUAACUGCCCACCAAGUCGACGAUCUAUAGCUGGUUUGAGAGGAUGAUCAGCAACACUGGGACUGAGACACGGCCCAGACUCCUACGGGAGGCAGCAGUGGGGAAUC
rnacentral:rRNA from 1 species